UCACCAGGUGGGCCCCCUGAUGCGGCGC
rnacentral:sRNA from 1 species